UUAUUGGUUUCUCGCAGCAGAAUUCAGCUUACUUAGUCAGGGCCGGAAGGAAGCAGCUUGGGUUGAAUUUCUGGGUGCCGGGAGUCGCUGGUAAUACC
rnacentral:SRP_RNA from 20 species